UGGCUUCUGUGGGGGCUCCACGUAGUAAAGUGUCCUUCCGUCCUCUCCAGGACCCCAUGGGAGGCUGGCAUUAGGCAGCCACUUCAGGAGGUGCAGUGCCAGAUGCAUGAUGUCGUGCCUUUCCGAGUCACCCUCCGGAGGGGCCAGAAGGGAUGUGACCAGGAGGUGGCUGACCAGGACAGGACAAUUCCCAGACUCCCCAGUGUGGAGUCGAUAAACAGCCAGGCAGUGCGAGUUUAUUUGGAACACACGUUGAGCCAGGGAAGCCCGAGAGAGAUACAAGUAUGCUUGAAUGUCCACCACCUUCCGGGCACUGUGUUGACGUGGGACAUGGCAGCGAACGAGACAAACCCUGCAGAGCCCUGGGGAUCUCACAUGAGCAAAAGCUUCACUUCUGAGAUCCCUGAGUCACCGUGUAAGAUGUCUGACACCCCUGCUCAUGGGACCAUGGGAAAAGGCCAUGUGGAGAGGAAGAGAGGCCCAGCUGAUGACUCAGCAUCUUAGUUCAGCCUCCAGAUGACUCCAGCCCCAGCCUUUAUCUGGAUGCACCUACGUGAGAGACCCCGAGCAGACCAGCAGAAGAACCAGCAAGCUGAACCCAGUCCACCCACUGACCCAGGAGAGAGAAUAAAAUAGUGGUUGUUUUAAAGCCGCUGAGUUUUGGACUGGUUUGUUAUGCAGUGACAGAUAACAAAAACAGUCUUCCGGUUGAGAGAUUGGCUGGUAUUCCUGAGUCUUGUACCACCUUCCUCCCAGCCCCCAAGACCUGACAUGGUUAAGUCAGGGCUUGGUUAACAAGCAAGUGAAUACUCAAGUUAAUAUCUAUACCAAGCAGGCGGGCCAGUUUUUAGUAUGGGAAGGGAUGCACACAUGCUGUCAAUUCCAGAACUGAGCUUUCAAAAGACCCAAUCCAGUUCCCACAGGGCUGGAGACCAAGGCAGGGGAACUGGCUGGCUCCCCAGCUCCAUCUCUGAGUGCUGGCCCAGAGAAGCAGAUGGUGAGGCUCAGAUGCCAUUCAGAUGCGCUCGCACGGCUCUGAGAUUGAAGGCUGUGGUAUGGCGAAACAGGAUGGUUGAGCCACCUCCCAGCCUGGCCCACAGGGAAGUAGGCCAACUGAGCAUAGCUCUGCUGUCUUGGUCACGCUUAGGUCCCCCUCACAUUUCCCACCACCUCAGACCUGAUCCCUCUGCUUCAUCUGUCCUGGACCAGCUCUUUCUUGACUCCCAUCUUUUGCAGGCCCAAACGCCACCCCUGCAACUGUAAUCACUUCUCUGCUCUAGGGAAUCUUUCCUUCUCUUUCCCCAAGAUCUCCAGGAUCACAAGAUCAUAGUCAUAUGGGGACUGCAUUCACUGAAACGUGUCAGGAGUGACUCUUAUCCCACUACUAGCCCAUGAGGUUCUCGAGAGCAAGGACUACAGCUUCAUUUUUCCCUCUAACACAUUCCAUUAGUAAGUUCAUUCAGUCAUUCAUUCACUCAACAAUCCACUAUGUGCCAAUAUCUGUUUGGUGCAGGGACAUAAAGCGAAAAAGUAUUAUCCCCGCCCUGGAGUCACGUUUGGUCCAGUUGGACAGACAGGCAUGGGAAUAGGCAAUUAUUGCACAAUCACAUCAUGCUAGGAGGGAGGAGUGUACACAAUGCAGUGAGAACAGUGGGCCUGGGAGGAGGGGCUACAGAUAAAAUUCACUAGUGAUUCUCAGAUGCCAGGCUCGGCUCUAAGCAUUUCGUUUAUUUCUAUUUCUAUUUUCAUUAUUUUGAAGUGCUUAAAAGAGUAAACUAUUAUUAUUUUAGAAUAGGAAAGUAAAGACAAACUGUACAAAAUCCCAAAAGUGCCAAUGCUGCCCUCUGAGCCUUCCCAGAGGAACACGCCCUUCCCCGUAUUUUGUGCCUUCCAGAUAUACUAUAUUUUAUGCAUAAUACGUCUGCAUGUGCAUGUGCACACAUGCACACACACGCACGGCUUUUACGUAAAUGGUUGCACAAUAUUCUGCAUCUUUUUCUUCAUUGAACAUAUCUUGGGGCUCAUUCCGUGUCCGUGUAGAGAGCUUUCAUCCCUGGCUAAUGACUGUGCAGAGUCACAGUUUGCCGUUGUAGGAAUGUACUAUACUUUGUUUAAGCAAUCACCUAUUAAUGGCUGUUUAUGUUUCUUCUAAUACUUCACUAUUACAAAUAAUGCUACAAUAAAUAAACUUGUAUAUACGUUAUUUUGAACAAGUGUCAAAUAUUUAUAGGAUAAAUUCGUAGAAGUGGAAUUGCUCGGUCAAGGGUAAGUGCACUUAAAAUUUUAACUGCCCUCCAUCUAAUGUCUAGUUCUUAAAAACAUACCACCAAGCUUUAUAAAGCUUUUCCUCUAAUCUCCUACCAGAACUCACUUCUGUCGUGGCCAGAAAACCUAGGCGGGCCAAGGAGGAGAAAAAAGGUAGCACUUCCUUUUAAAAUGCUUCUUUUCUUCUAUCUAAGUAUAAGUAUAAAUUUAAUAUACAGAUA